rnacentral:sRNA from 1 species
AAGACCAAACUGCGAGACCAUGGCACCCAGUGCGGAGGGCACGGCCGAGUCCCUCCACCACAUACAAGCCUGGGCUCUAGGGCUCCUGCCAGCCCUGCAGAGACUUGUCCCUGAACUGGUCCUGAUUCCUGAAGAGCCUGUCUUUCUGCUCACUCAUCCCUCAUUCAGUCACCACACACACAGCCAUGCACAUCACCUCUGCUCUGGUCACAUGCACAUGCCCACACCUACCCUCAGGAUCUCAGGUGGGUGCCUGGAUCGUCACACACUCACACACUCCACCCCAGGUGGUGAGCCCAGUGUGCAGAUCCUCACA